CUCGCUGUGCAGUCCCUAUGGGCCUCGCUGUGCAGUCCCUAUGGGCCUCGCUGUGCAGUCCCUAAGGGCCUCGCUGUGCAGUCCCUAAGGGCCUCGCUGUGCAGUCCCUAAGGGCCUCGCUGUGCAGUCCCUAAGGGCCUCGCUGUGCAGUCCCUAAGGGCCUCGCUGUGAGGUCCCAGUCCGGUCGUGAUACAGCCAGGAUUCUAACCAGGGCGCCUGUAGUGACACCUAAAGCACUGAGAUGCAGUGCCUUAGACCGCUGCAUCACUCAGGAGCCCCAGAUCAGACAUCUACCGGCCCUCGAGGUCAGACAUCUACCGGCCCUCGAGGUCAGACAUCUACCGGCCCUCGAGGUCAGACAUCUACCGGCCCUCGAGGUCAGACAUCUACCGGCCCUCUCAGACAUCUACCGGCACUCGAGGUCAGACAUCUACCGGCCCUCGAGGUCAGACAUCUACCGGCCCUCGAGGUCAGACAUCUACCGGCCCUCGAGGUCAGACAUCUACCGG
ensembl:lncRNA